rnacentral:tRNA from 1 species
UUAAUUAAAGCUUUUAGGAAGCGUUCCAUUGUUACUGGAAAGAAAGGUAGACUUAAUUAAA